GUGAAUCAUCAAAUCUUUGAACGCAAAUUGCGCUCUCUGGUAUUCCGGGGAGUAUGCCUGUUUGAGGGUCGUUAUAAUAAAUAAUCGAUACGUCUCUCUUUUUGUGAAGGGGGAUCGCGUCGGGAUUGAGUCGUCUUUCAAAUGUUAAUUCAUUGCAAAGUGGGUUGACAUUCAUCCAUCCGUUACGAUUUAAUCGUAUGUA
rnacentral:misc_RNA from 1 species